UACAGAGGUGGCAAGCGUUGUUCGGAAUUACUGGGCGUAAAGGGCGCGUAGGCGGUCGAUUAAGUUCCGUGUGAAAUCCCUCGGCUCAACUGAGGAACUGCACGGGAAACUGGUUGACUUGAGUUUGGGAGAGGGAAGUGGAAUUCCGGGUGUAGCGGUGAAAUGCGUAGAUAUCCGGAGGAACACCGGUGGCGAAGGCGGCUUCCUGGACCACGACUGACGCUGAGGCGCGAAAGCUAGGGGAGCAAACGGG
rnacentral:rRNA from 1 species